CUAAAUUAACCGCAUCUACUUUAUUUUCUUCUUUUAUACCGUAAUUUUUCUGAGCUUCUACAUAAUCCAUAUCGUGAACACUUACACCUAUUUCUUCCUCAAAAGGUGUUCCAAGCGGUACCGGAGGCGAAGGCACACGGGUAUAUCUACUACUUGAAGUACCUCUACCGCUAGUAAUUUGCUUUUUACUACCACUACCACUUCCG
rnacentral:lncRNA from 1 species